AUCCAGGUGACGAGUCGCAAAUAGAACGAAAUGUGCGUCCUGGAU
rfam:Schistosoma mansoni strain Puerto Rico chromosome 5, complete genome